GUGGGGAAUUUUGGACAAUGGGGGCAACCCUGAUCCAGCCAUUCCGCGUGAGUGAAGAAGGCCUUCGGGUUGUAAAGCUCUUUCGGCAGGAACGAAACGGUGAGCUCUAACAUAGCUCGCUAAUGACGGUACCUGAAGAAGAAGCACCGGCUAACUACGUGCCAGCAGCCGCGGUAAUACGUAGGGUGCGAGCGUUAAUCGAAAUUACUGGGCGUAAAGCGUGCGCAGGCGGUUGUGUAAGACAGGUGUGAAAUCCCCGGGCUUAACCUGGGAACUGCGCUUGUGACUGCACGGCUAGAGUAUGGCAGAGGGGGGUGGAAUUCCACGUGUAGCAGUGAAAUGCGUAGAGAUGUGGAGGAACACCGAUGGCGAAGGCAGCCCCCUGGGCCAAUACUGACGCUCAUGUACGAAAGCGUGGGGAGCAAACAGGAUUAGAAACCCUGGUAGUCC
rnacentral:rRNA from 1 species